GUCCUUUAGAAAAUUGAAUUUAAGGUCUAACCUGCCCACUGAAAUUUUUAAAUGGCCGCAGUAUUUUGACUGUGCAAAGGUAGCAUAAUCAUUAGUUUUUUAAUUAAAAGCUUGUAUGAAUGGUUGGACGAGAUAAAAUCUGUCUCUAUAUAAUUAAUAGAAUUUAAUUUUUAAGUUAAAAAGCUUAAAUAAUAUUAAAAGACGAGAAGACCCUAUAGAUCUUUAUAAUGAAUUUUAUAGUUUUAUUAAAGAUUUUUUUAUUUAUUAUAAUUUUUAUUAUUUUAUUGGGGUAAUAAAAAGAUUAAAAAAAUUCUUUUUAAUUAUUGACAAAAAUUAUUGAUUAUUUGAUCCUUGUUAUUGAUUAUAAGAUUAAGUUACCUUAGGGAUAACAGCGUAAUUUUUUUAGAGAGUUCAUAUCGAUAAAAAAGUUUGCGACCUCGAUGUUGGAUUAAAAAUUAUUUUGGGUGUAGAAGUUCAAAUUUUUGGUCUGUUCGACCAUUAAAUUUUUACAUGAUCUGAGUUCAGACCGGUGUAAGCCAGGUCGGUUUCUAUCUUUAUUUAAUUAAUAUAUUUUAGUACGAAAGGACCAAAUAUAAAAUAUAUAUAUAUUUAUAUUUUGAUUAA
rnacentral:rRNA from 1 species